rnacentral:rRNA from 1 species
UACGUAGGGGGCAAGCGUUGUCCGGAAUCAUUGGGCGUAAAGAGCGUGUAGGCGGCUCGAUAAGUCUGCUGUGAAAGUCCAGGGCUCAACCCUGGAAGGCCGGUGGAAACUGUCGGGCUAGAGUCCGGAAGAGGCGAGUGGAAUUCCCGGUGUAGCGGUGAAAUGCGCAGAUAUCGGGGAAGAACACCCGUGGCGAAGGCGGCUCUCUGGGACGGUACUGGACGCUGAGACGCGAAAGCGUGGGGAGCGAACAGG